GAUUAACGCUGGCGGCGUGCAUAACACAUGCAAGUCGAACGAUGAAACUUAAAUGAUUUCUUCGGAAUGAACUUAAGUGGAUUAGUGGCGGACGGGUGAGUAACGCGUGAGUAACCUGCCUUACACAAGGGGAUAGCCGUUGGAAACGACGAAUAAUACCCUAUGAUGUUUCUAUCUCGCAUGAGAUAUUAACCAAAGUGUUAGCGGUGUAAGAUGGACUUGCGUCUGAUUAGCUAGUUGGUGAGAAAAAAGCCCACCAAGGCAACGAUCAGUAGCCGGGUUGGAGGGGGGUACGGCCCAAUUGGGAUUGGGACCCGGCCCAGACCCCUAGGGGGGGCAGCAUGGGGGAAUUUUGCACAAUGGGGGAAACCCUGAUCCAGGGAGCCCGCGUAAUUUAGAAGGCCUUUGGGUUGUAAAAAUCUUUUUUAUAGGAAAAAAAUGGCAGGACUAAACGAAAAAGGUCCGGCUAAUUACGU
rnacentral:rRNA from 1 species